GGUCACCAUCCCGAUCCGCAAUCCCGAUCUGCUGCAAAUUCAAAUUAGGAAAGAAAUCUGCAAAUCAGGUUGAAUCAUUUGGCACGUGGUCUAUAUAAGAAUGGGUCGCCUUGAUAUCCGUUUCGUGCCUACUCCGAAGCUAGAGCUCAAGAAGUUAUGGAGCCAGUUGAAGCCAGAUGGUCAGCAGUACGUUCUCAAGCGCAUUGGAUUCAUGUUGCCGAUCCUAGACAUAGACAUCCAGAGCGGAAUCAUGCAGGCACUCGCUCAUUUUUGGUGCCCCGAGACAACCACAUUUAUGUUGGGAGGUAAGUUUGAGCUCACACCGACUCUGGAAGAAUACAGUAUUGCCAUUGGAAAAUCGAUUGAGUUGGAUAUAGUCGAACCACCCAUUAAGGUAGAUCCUGUGGUAGUGCUUGCUGAAUUUUUGAA